UACAGAGGUCUCAAGCGUUGUUUCGGAUUCAUUGGGCGUAAAGGGUGCGUAGGCGGCGCGGUAAGUCGGGUGUGAAAUCUUGGAGCUUAACUCCGAAACUGCAUUCGAUACUGCCGUGCUUGAGGACUGGGAGAGGAGACUGGAAUUUACGGUGUAGCGGUGAAAUGCGUAGAUAUCGUAAGGAAGACCAGUGGCGAAGGCGGGUCUCGUGGACAGUUCCUGACGCUGGAGGCACGAAGGCCAGGGGAGCAAACAGG
rnacentral:rRNA from 1 species